rnacentral:rRNA from 1 species
CCUACGGGAGGCUGCAGUGGGGAAUAUUGCACAAUGGGCGCAAGCCUGAUGCAGCCAUGCCGCGUGUGUGAAGAAGGCCUUCGGGUUGUAAAGCACUUUCAGCGGGGAGGAAGGCGGUGAGGUUAAUAACCUCAUCGAUUGACGUUACCCGCAGAAGAAGCACCGGCUAACUCCGUGCCAGCAGCCGCGGUAAUACGGAGGGUGCAAGCGUUAAUCGGAAUUACUGGGCGUAAAGCGCACGCAGGCGGUCUGUCAAGUCGGAUGUGAAAUCCCCGGGCUCAACCUGGGAACUGCAUUCGAAACUGGCAGGCUAGAGUCUUGUAGAGGGGGGUAGAAUUCCAGGUGUAGCGGUGAAAUGCGUAGAGAUCUGGAGGAAUACCGGUGGUGAAGGCGGCCCCCUGGACAAAGACUGACGCUCAGGUGCGAAAGCGUGGGGAGCAAACAGGAUUAGAUACCCCUGUAGUC